CCUCCCACUGGCUGGGAGCUCACUGUCCCAAAGGCAGGGUGCCUGUCCACGCUAUCCUGCUGCAUGCCCCCGUCCUGGGCAGUGACAGGGACACUGCUGUGGACAGCAUACCCCAGCUUUUGGGCUGCCCAGGGUGUCACCUGGGGCAGAGCACUGAGCACACACCAGGACUGCGCUUCCCUUCCCCUGCUGACUCUGGCUCCAGCCCCACGGGGCCACCUGAUGUCCCCCUGUCCUGCUGUCACCCUCUAAGCCAGGACAGGUCACAGUACAGCUCUUUGCAGUUCCUAACACCACCCAGUUUCUCUAGGACACAGCAGGACCCUCAGCUCUGCCAGGGGCUGCCUGCUCUGCUCUGGGCUCCCCUGGGCUCUGGAGGGGCAGCCCUGGGAGGAACCAGCUGCAGGCGGGAGGGAAAGACCCCAGAGGAAUGUGCAGGCACUGCAGCCAUCAGCCAGUCUCCAGAGCCCAGAGGGGCAGGCGGUGGGAUCUGGGGGACCCAGGCACCCCAGAGCAGAGAGGCAACCUGCUUGGAGCUACUGGGUGACCUGCUCAGCUGCCUGCCUGCUCCUCUGGAGAGCAGCUGGGAAGAUGCCGGGCCAGCAACGAAGAGGGAACGCAUCCCCAGCCCUCACACCUCACGUCCCUUCAUCCAUCCUCUCCUCCAAGGGCCACAGCAAAUUCCAUCUUCACGGAAAUCCUGCGUCUCCACUGGCCUUUGCAAACCGCAGCUCAGCAAACAAGCCUCCCGAAGCCCGCUCGGGGACACGGUGUGGCUGCACAGCCCCGACGCGGCACCCCACAGACCCGCGGGCUCUGCUGGGCACCCCUUCCCGUCGAGUGGGCGGGGAACACGCGCUGCCCGCACCCACUCCCACGCGGGGACCGGCGACACACAGCCCCCCGCCGCCGGCAGAGCGCACAAAGCCAGCUUUCGGUACCAAACGCCGGGCAGCCACCCGAGAGCCAGGAGGAAGCCGAAGCCCGCACCCCACACACACGGCCCAGACGCGCUCCGACAACCAGGGGGUUGUGGGG
rnacentral:lncRNA from 1 species